ACGUGAUUCGUGUAUUUGAAAAUGCAACCGUUAAUGAACGAAGUCGAGUCAAAGUGCUGGAUCGUGCAAUCGACGUCCGUAAUAACUUGUUCUCAAUUGACUGCCUGCCCUUUUUUGACAUGUCAAGACACUUCAGGAGUAUCUGAACGAGUUCACCGACUUGAAGUUCGGGGAAGUGGAGCGGUAAUGAAGAGGAGAAAAGCCUGCUCGAACAUCACUUGAGUAACAUCAUCUGGGACAGUUGGAACAACUCUACGCUCCACAUUUAAUUCAGUGUCAAUCCUGAUUUCAUCAACAUGGACUGAUGGAACAAAAGUCAUGCAAAUAUGCUGUUUUGUGUAGUGGUGUCACAAGAUAAAGUACUUCCUUGAUGAGUUCAGAGAUGGAUGAUCAAUCAAACAUAGAAUAUGGUUUCUAGCAACCCUGCAGGUAUCCUUCAUAUGCCAAUGAGAGUGCAUAAAGCUUGCACAUAUUAUAAACGGUAUCUGUGCUAUCCCCAAUAUAUAACAUUAGACCAAUUAUAUUGCCAAAUUACAAUGGAGCCUAUCAAAGAAAAGGUAGACUCCAGCAAAACGUAAUUUGAAUAUUAAAAUAGAGAAAAACCAAAGAAGCACUGAUAAUUUCAUCAAAAUCUGACUAAGAUAAGAAGGUUGUGAAAUUUUGAGUUUAAAAAACAUUAAUAUGCAAAACACAGGUCAAAUGAGGAUCAAAGACAUUCUUUUGUAUUUUAUCAUAUGAAACAUAGAACAGAUCCAUUGUCUUUGGCAGAGAGUAAUUGGUCUACCGGUAAUCUUAUACUUAAUGGGAUAAUAAUUUAAGAGAUGCUUUACAUAGGAAUAAGUAAUUAUGUAGUACAAUACAUUUUUCAGGAGCAACUUGGUCUGCUCAUCAUUAGAGUGCAGUGGGCUGAUUCAUAAAUCUGUUAGUAAGUUAAGAUUGAUUUUAAGAACGACU
rnacentral:lncRNA from 1 species